rnacentral:rRNA from 1 species
CCCAUACUACGGGAUAACCCGUUGAAAGACGGCCUAAUACCGUAUGACAUCGUUUGCUGACAUCAAAAUAACGAUUAAAAGGUUUAGCGGUUAUGGAUGGGGAUGCGUCUGAUUAGCUUGUUGCGGGGUAACGGCCACCAAGGCUACGAUCAGUAGGGGUUCUGAGAGGAAGGUCCCCACAUUGGAACUGAGACACGGUCCAAACUCCUACGGGAGGCAGCAGUGAGGAAUAUUGGUCAAUGGGCGAGAGCCUGAACCAGCCAAGUAGCGUGCAGGAUGACGGCCCUAUGGGUUGCAAACUGCUUUUAUGUGGGAAUAAAGUGCGUGACGUGUCAUGCAUUGCAGGUACCACAUGAAUAAGGACCGGCUAAUUCCGUGCCAGCAGCCGCGGUAAAU